CACUUAUGGAUGGACCCGCGUCGCAUUAGCUAGUUGGUGAGGUAACGGCUCACCAAGGCAACGAUGCGUAGCCGACCUGAGAGGGUGAUCGGCCACACUGGGACUGAGACACGGCCCAGACUCCUACGGGAGGCAGCAGUAGGGAAUCUUCCGCAAUGGACGAAAGUCUGACGGAGCAACGCCGCGUGAGUGAUGAAGGCUUUCGGGUCGUAAAACUCUGUUGUUAGGGAAGAACAAGUGCUAGUUGAAUAAGCUGGCACCUUGACGGUACCUAACCAGAAAGCCACGGCUAACUACGUGCCAGCAGCCGCGGUAAUACGUAGGUGGCAAGCGUUAUCCGGAAUUAUUGGGCGUAAAGCGCGCGCAGGUGG
rnacentral:rRNA from 1 species